GUGCGUAACACGUAUGUAACCUACCUUCGUCAGGGGGAUAGCCUCUCGAAAGAGAGAUUAAGACCGCAUAACAUUGUAAUGUGGCAUCACAAAACAAUCAAAUAUUUAUAGGACGAAGAUGGGCAUGCGGAACAUUAGCUAGUUGGUGAGGUAACUGCUCACCAAGGCAACGAUGUUUAGGGGAUCUGAGAGGAUGACCCCCCACACUGGUACUGAGACACGGACCAGACUCCUACGGGAGGCAGCAGUAAGGAAUAUUGGUCAAUGGGCGGAAGCCUGAACCAGCCAUGCCGCGUGCAGGAAGACGGCCCUAUGGGUUGUAAACUGCUUUUGCAGGGGAAUAAACCUCCGUUCGUGAACGGAGCUGAAUGUACUCUGAGAAUAAGGAUCGGCUAACUCCGUGCCAGCAGCCGCGGUAAUACGGAGGAUCCGAGCGUUAUCCGGAUUUAUUGGGUUUAAAGGGUGCGUAGGUGGCCUGUUAAGUCAGGGGUGAAAGACGGUAGCUUAACUAUCGCAGUGCCCUUGAUACUGAUGGGCUUGAAUGAACUAGAGGUAGGCGGAAUGUGACAAGUAGCGGUGAAAUGCAUAGAUAUGUCACAGAACACCAAUUGCGAAGGCAGCUUACUAUGGUUUUAUUGACACUGAGGCACGAAAGCGUGGGGAUCAAACAGGAUUAGAUACCCUGGUAGUCCACGCCCUAAACGAUGAAUACUCGAUGUUGGCGAUAUACGGUCAGCGUCUAAGCGAAAGCGUUAAGUAUUCCACCUGGGGAGUA
rnacentral:rRNA from 1 species